CCGUAGUGGCGGACGGGUGAGUAACGCGUGGGUAACCUGCCUCAUACAGGGGGAUAACGAUUGGAAACGAUUGCUAAUACCGCAUAAGCGCACAGGACCGCAUGGUCCGGUGUGAAAAACUCCGGUGGUGUGAGAUGGACCCGCGUUUGAUUAGCUAGUUGGUGGGGUAACGGCCUACCAAGGCGACGAUCAAUAGCCGACCUGAGAGGGUGACCGGCCACAUUGGGACUGAGACACGGCCCAA
rnacentral:rRNA from 1 species